UGCCGCAACACUCAUUGAUCAACCUUUAUGGGUUAUGAAUGCUGUGCCAAUUGGUCAACCAGAUACCUUGCCACUUAUUUUCAACAGAGGUUUGAUUGGAGCUCUCAUGACUGGUGCAGAUCUUUCAGCACCUACCCUCGUACCUAUGAUCUUCUCCACAUGAGUAAUCUCAUUGGAAAUCUUACAAACAGGUGUGACCUCAUCGACGUGGUGGUUGAAAUCGACAGAAUACUGAGACCUGGAAGAUGGUUUGUGUUGAAAGACACGUUAGAGAUGAUAAAGAAGAUACGCCCAAUCCUGAAGUCCAGACACUAUGAAACUGUCAUCGUGAAACAUCAAUUUCUUGUGGCUACAAAGAGUUUCUGGCGUCCUGGCAAACCAGCUUCCACAUCAGGGUGACAUAUAGAUCGUACUUUCAGGGGAGUCUUCAACAACCAACGAUUCUAUUGAUUCUUUGAGACCUGAUCAAACUAACUCUUGGGCCACAGGUUUGUGAUUUCAAUGGUGAUGCUUUUCAAAGGGAAGAACGGGAACGAUGGCUGCCAUUGGUGCCACUACCUGAACUGUGUGCCAACAUCCAAGUGGAAGUGUAACACCUAGACACUUCAGUUUUCUGUUACACUCGGGGGCAAAAAUGUAGUAUCCAGAUUUACAAGACCAUUCUCUAUGUUUGUUUGUCUGUAGAUAUGAACAAGUUCUUUUCGUUUACUGGUUUUGAGUUUC